rnacentral:rRNA from 1 species
AAAUCCGCUUUGAUAAUGCUGGGAUGUGAUGGGGAGCGAAAUUUAGUAGCGAAGUAGCUGAUUUCACACUGUCAAGAAAAGUCUCUAUCGAGGUUAAAGGUACCCGUACCGCAAACCGACACAGGUGGGUGAGGAGAGUAUCCUAAGGCCAGCGAGAGAACUGUUGUUAAGGAACUCGGCAAAAUGACCCCGUAACUUAGGGAUAAGGGGUGCCACCAUCAGGUGGCCGCAGAGAAUAGGCCCAAGCGACUGUUUACCAAAAACAUAGGUUUCUGCUAAGUCGCAAGACGAUGUAUAGGAGCUGACGCCUGCCCGGUGCUGGAAGGUUAAGGGGAUCUGUUAGAGCAAUCGAAGCAGUGAACUUAAGCCCCAGUAAACGGCGGCCGUAACUAUAACGGUCCUAAGGUAGCGAAAUUCCUUGUCGGGUAAGUUCCGACCCGCACGAAAGGCGUAACGAUUUGGGCACUGUCUCAACAACAGACUCGGUGAAAUUGUAAUUCCGGUGAAGAUGCCGGAUACCUGCGACAGGACGGAAAGACCCCAUGGAGCUUUACUGUAGCUUGACAUUGGGUCUUGGUACUACAUGUACAGGAUAGGUGGGAGGCUUUGAAACCAGGACGCCAGUUUUGGCGGAGCCAUCCUUGGGAUACCACCCUUGUAGUACUGGGACUCUAACCAUAGGCCAUGAAUCUGGUCUUGGGACACUGUCAGGUGGGCAGUUUGACUGGGGCGGUCGCCUCCCAAAAGGUAACGGAGGCGCUCAAAGGUUCUCUCAGUACGGUCGGAAAUCGUACGUAGAGUGUAAAGGCAAAAGAGAGCUUGAUUGCAAGACAUACAGGUCGAGCAAGGAUGAAAAUCGGACUUAGUGAUCCGGUGGUUCUGCGUGGAAGGGCCAUCGCUCAACGGAUA